GGACAGAUGGGUGAGCGGCUGAAACCACACCCCUGCUAAGGGUGCAAGUCUUAAUCAGGCUUCGAGGGUUCAAAUCCCUCUCUGUCCGCCA
rnacentral:tRNA from 1 species